rnacentral:tRNA from 1 species
GCUCCCGUCGUCUAGCGGUUUAGGACGCCGCCCUCUCAAGGCGGAGAUCGUCGGUUCGAAUCCGAUCGGGAGUACCA